rnacentral:rRNA from 1 species
UACGGAGGGCGCGAGCGUUAAUCGGAAUAACUGGGCGUAAAGGGCACGCAGGCGGGCUUUUAAGUGAGAUGUGAAAUCCCCGGGCUUAACCUGGGGAUAGCAUUUCAGACUGGGAGUCUAGAGUACUUUAGGGAGGGGAAGAAUUCCACGUGUAGCGGUUAAAUGCGUAGAGAUGUGGAGGAAUACCGAAGGCGAAGGCAGCCCCUUGGGAAUGUACUGACGUGCAGGUGCGAUAGCGUGGGGAGCAUA